CGCAUCUGUGCAUGCAGCAUAUCAAUAAGCGGAGGAAAAGAAACUAACAAGGAUUCCCCUAGUAACGGCGAGUGAAGCGGGAAGAGCUCAAAUUUGAAAUCUUAAAGGGUUUCCCUUUACGAAUUGUAGUUUAAAGAAGUGUUUUCUGUUGAGGUUUUGGUAAAAGUUCUUUGGAAUAGGACAUCAUAGAGGGUGAGAAUCCCGUAUUUGACCUUUACUUUCAACUUUGUGAUACACUUUCAAAGAGUCGGAUUGUUUGGGAAUGCAGUCCAAAAUGGGUGGUAAAUUUCAUCUAAAGCUAAAUAUUGGCGAGAGACCGAUAGCGAACAAGUACCGUGAGGGAAAGAUGAAAAGAACUUUGAAAAGAGAGUUAAACAGUACGCGAAAUUGUCAAAAGGGAAGCGUUUGACACCAGUGUUGUUUUUCUGAAAAUCAAUUAAAGAACUGUUUAUGCUAAGCUGUUUAGACUUUAUCAGCUAACUGUUUAGUUUUGAGCCUUUCUUUAAUGCACUUUUCAGUUAACAAGUCAACAUCAAUUUCUUUUGCUGUAAAAAAGCUUGAGGAAGGUGGCUUGAGAUUCGUCUUAAGUGUUUAUAGCCUCUUGCCUAUGCAGUCGGAGAGAUUGAGGUCUGCAGCGUAGAUCCUUCGGGGCUAAAUGCAUUUGUGCUAAGUUAUAGCAUUUUAUAGACAACUUGUUGACUAUGAUUUGUCUUGUAGCUUACUCGCUCAUGUUAUUUUACCUACGCUUAGGAUGUUGACAGCAGUAUAGACUGU
rnacentral:rRNA from 1 species